UGCAACGCAGCCUUUCCGAACAGUCGCUCGCCUCCUGGGCCUCGUCUGACAUUACAUUUUCGAGCUGUUGGUCAUUAAUGGACGGUAGUGAAGGUGAAAGUGGUGAUGAUAGCAUCAGCGUGGCGUCAUCGUCCAGACCGCCAUCGUACAAUUCAGAGUGGAAGUUUGCACCUCUUGAGACGCCUCCUCCAUCGUACGAGGACCCUGAUGAAUUGCCAUGAAAGUGACCAGGCUGACUUGAAAAAUACGGCUGGAUCCGCUUCGAAAAUUUUUCGCUUGAAAUUCGGCUCUAAUGGCGCAUAAUAUGCGUCAAUUGCUAAGAUUACAUUGCCGAUUACCUAUUUUAAAUAAACAUUGUAUUCACCGGAUUUUUAAAAGUUUAAACUUUGCAAGCACUUUUGGACAAUGCUUACCGUGCAAGUAUUUAAUGCGUCUUGAUUACUACCUACAUAUAUUCUGCAGAAUGAUCUGAUUGUUCCAAAAAAAUCAUGGGUUAAUUGACUAAUAUGUAUGAAAAGUUUGCCUGGUGCUGGGUUUGACAUACUAAUGUACAAAAUUAAAUAUUUAUGUGACUUAACCACUGUAAUUUUUUCUAAAUAUGUAUGUAUGUCCUUUACCUGAAAUAAAUUUACAAACUUAUUUGUACAGUAUUAUUCGCAAA